GGGUUCCACUCCCAGAACCAGCAAAAGAAAUUGUCAACCUUCUGCUUGCAAAUACUAGUGACAUAGAGGGUGGUGCUGAAGGUGAUGGAGAGGAGCAGGCAAGAGGAGACAGAAGCGCCAGAAGGAGACUCCGGGAGGCCUCCACUCAUACUCUGCAGACUAAAGGCCUAAGAUUGCUUUGUUAGUUGGAAAGAAAAGCUAUCAGCGUUCAGCUGGGAACAUCAGAAGCCAUCUUGACAUUGAUGAGGAUAUGGGUCACAUUGCUCUUAGUACAAGUCCCUGUCACAAACAUAUGGUCACCUCUGCCACGGUGUAGUCAGAAUGCAUAAACCACUUACCCUCAAGAAGUGACACCGGCCAAGCCCCAAGGAGCUAACUCUCUACUAGUAUCUUAAAAGUGUCUUAUUCCUCUGAAUUGUCAGUGUCAUAAAAGUCAAAGGCGGCCAUGCAAAUCUUCU
rnacentral:lncRNA from 1 species